CAGUAGCCGCGGUAAUACGUAGGGUCCGAGCGUUGUCCGGAAUUACUGGGCGUAAAGAGCUCGUAGGUGGUUUGUCGCGUUGUUCGUGAAAACUCACAGCUCAACUGUGGGCGUGCGGGCGAUACGGGCAGACUAGAGUACUGCAGGGGAGACUGGAAUUCCUGGUGUAGCGGUGGAAUGCGCAGAUAUCAGGAGGAACACCGGUGGCGAAGGCGGGUCUCUGGGCAGUAACUGACGCUGAGGAGCGAAAGCGUGGGGAGCGAACAGGAUUAGAUACCCCCGUAGUCCCUGUCCCUUAUAA
rnacentral:rRNA from 1 species